ACCGGAUGAGUAACUAAAUUAACUCAAGACAUCUUCUGGGGUCAGCAUCUUCUGUAUCUACCAAAGGAAAACAGAUGAGACAUGUUAGCAGAAUUCCAAGAUUGCCUGUCAAGCUAUAAUGUUUUGGGAAAGUACAAGAGAAUAAUUUAAAGAGCUGAAAAAGGAGCUGAAAAAAGGGACAAUGAUACUUCACAAAAAUGAGGAGGAGCUUCUACCAACAGAUGUACGGCUGUAACUAAUGAAACAUUGUUUAGAAACUUCAUAACAGGUACACUGGAAGCUUUGCAAGCACAGGUUUAUUACACUUAUGGAGUCAAGUGGAUGUCAUAUGUAUCAGUCCCAAUUUCUGUUUUGAUGAGAUUUAUGUUUUUUUUAAUUUUACUGUGUUAUAAGUUGCCUAUAGUUGUGCUAAAACAUGAUUAAUCCAGCAGAUAGGCUGAUUUCAGUAUGAGUGUCCUAAAAAGCUGUUUCUUAGUUCUGCUGAAAUCAAUUGGAUUUAAUUUUGGCUAGAACAAAUUAUCCUCAUCUAAUGUGCAGAGUAUAUUAAAUAAAAUGUCUAGAUACUGAUAGAGAUUUAUGACAUCAUCAUUAUUCUGCUUUGAUUAUGUAACAUUAGCAAAUAUUUAUUAUAAUCAAAACAUAUUUAAAUAAACUAAUAGUAUUCAUUUUGACCUUCAGCCUUCGAUGUAAAGAUUGUUUCCUUCUAAUUAAUAGGCUUAAAUAUGCCACUUGGCAUAACUGUUAAAUAUUCUGUACCAUACAGCAUUCCUGUUUCCAAUUUAGGUCAUACUAUGAGGAUGAUGAAAAGAAUCGAAGAUGGAAGAUGAGAUGCUCUAAUUCACAUAUACGCCCUCUGGAAGGGCUGGCAAAGGCAACCACUUAAAUUAAGCUCAGGUCAUCAGACAAGAUAUUUAAUCUAUUCCUAAGACAGACAACUUCUAUAGCUGAAAUCCCUAUGGCCUUUAAAGCAACACAAUGAACUACUUUGUCGUGUACUCCUGUCAAAUCAUGUUAGGUUGCUUGAUUUUUAGAAGUGAUAUUUCAUGUACUCUUAUGAGCAAAUUGCUCAGAGCAAAGAAAAGUGUUUUGGUUUAUUUAUGACCUACUAACCUUAAGUAAAGAAAAAGAAGUUUCAGCCACUGUGAAUGUUCUCAGAAGCCUAGAGAUACGAAAUGUACAUAAAAUAAAUCUGGCAUUUGUAGCACAGACUAGCAAAAGGCACACAUGGCCAAUCCACAGGGUUUCUUUAAAAAAGAAGAUGGAAACCAGAUGAUGAAAGCAGAAGGGACGAAAGUCACUCUUAACCAAUAAAUAAUAUAAAAUGCAGACUAUAGAACUGAAAGUUUAAAAGCAAGUAAAGAUUUUCAGAUUGUAUUCAAGGUGAGAAAUAAACGGAAGAAUGGAUGGUAAUACUGAGCUUUCAAGUAUGUUGUUAGUAAAAA